CAAGAUAGGUUAAGCUUAUACUACAUAAUAAGUGAUCCCCAGAUCUCCGUGUUUUUGUGCUGAGAAAAACGUACUCUGUCCAAAUUGUUCAGCUCUGUUCUCACUGCCUCUCUGCAGCAGCUGCCCUCCAUGUGGUGAUUCAGUGAUCCAGGCUGCUUUGAUCUGGUGGUUCUGUGUUCGUAAGGUGAGGUUGCCUCUGGAUCAUAGAAGCAGACAGAGAGAUUGGAAAAUGGUACAGAUUGAAUUUUUAUAUACUUGGAAUCAUGUUGGAAUCAAAACUCCAAUAACUUGAACUGAAAUGAAAGUUCACAGGAAAAGAAAGUAGAUGAAAGGUCUCAGCGUCCCCUUUAUGCCUACCUGAGAGUGGGAAGAAGCCCUUUAUGCAGAAUCUCUGGGGCAAUGAGCUCCUAAUCACCUCUAGUGGGAGGACAGAAGGAGCAAAAAAAUAUUUCCAGGGUAAGUUCCUACAUUCUCUGGUCUCACAGAUGUAGUUCAAAAGUGCUGAAUUUGGAGUCAAAAGAUGAAUUAUUAU
rnacentral:lncRNA from 1 species